rnacentral:tRNA from 1 species
GCUGGGAUAGCUCAGUUGGUAGAGCAUCUCCAUGGUAAGGAGAAGGUCGUGGGUUCAAGUCCCAUUCCCAGCU